UGGGUAUAAGCCUCACAGUAGAUGUGUAGGGUACGAAAAGGAUGGGCAGAGCCUUAGCUACGGCGAGGUUGUAUGAGUUCAGGCCCCUCUGCGGUGGAGGUAAUAGCCCUACGUCUCAGUGCUCAGGGAGCUUGUUGUCGAGUGGAAAUAUGGAAUACAAUGAGUUGCUAACCCCUCUACCAGCGGGGGAGGGUGGCUUAUAUAGAAUGCGCUGCCCUCCACAACGGUUCCGGUACAGGGGUGGAGUAGUGGCGAUUGAAUGCGUACGUUAUAGGUAACCUGCGCCCUAAAUGCUAAU
rnacentral:lncRNA from 1 species